UAUAAGUGACACCGUAAGUUUUCGUGCCUAACUUUAAUCGUCUAUCUUAUUUAAAUUUUUUUAUAAUUAGUAUUUUUAUUGUUAUGAGAUGAUAAAAUACUUUACUCAUGACUUAUGUUUUUAAAUUUUUUUAAAAAAAUCUUCAAAUAAGAUGGACGGUUAAAAUUGGACACGGAAAAUCAUAGCUACAUUUAAA
rfam:Oryza sativa Japonica Group DNA, chromosome 4, cultivar: Nipponbare, complete sequence.